rnacentral:rRNA from 1 species
GACGUAGGGCGCGAGCGUUGUCCGGAUUUAUUGGGCGUAAAGAGCUCGUAGGCGGUUUGUCGCGUCUGCCGUGAAAGUCCGGGGCUCAACUCCGGAUCUGCGGUGGGUACGGGCAGACUAGAGUGAUGUAGGGGAGACUGGAAUUCCUGGUGUAGCGGUGAAAUGCGCAGAUAUCAGGAGGAACACCGGUGGCGAAGGCGGGUCUCUGGGCCGAUACUGACGCUGAGGAGCGAAAGCGUGGGGAGCGAACAGG